CUUGCAGGGCGGCGACCACGAGUUACCUGCCCCUAUACAAUGAGUUAAUUGCCCCUGUAUUUCAUCUGUUAAGUUGUACUUAAAAUAGGCUAACUCUUGCGCAAAAAAAGAUAGAAAAUAUCAAAUAUGGGAAAGCGGGACGAUAGACCAAACAUAUCUACGAAGAGACCAUUGGUGCCGGAAAUAUCUCUGUCUUUAGUAGUGUCCGCGAGGUAUAUUAAUUUAUAAAACAUGAGAUAUUAGUACCAUAUUGCCCGGGAAUCAAAAGAUUUUUGCAAGAUCGAUUCAAGAAACGGACUCUAUCUGGAAAAGGAAAACAAUAUCAAAGCUCCUCUGUGAGAAGUUGGCCAAGGAAAGCAUUCAGAAGAAAGUGGAGAUUCAUUGUUUUUACCAGAUCCAGUAGAUCACAGAAAGCAUCUAGUAGGGGAGGUCUACAGAUCGAAGCAUGCCAAAUGUGUAAAGAACAAGGUACGAUUGUAUACAUAAAAAGGCCCAAAAAUUUUCUCUCAAUAAAAUGUGUCUGGAAUUAACCUUAAUAAGCGU